rnacentral:tRNA from 1 species
GGAUUUAGCUCAGUGGUAGAGCGCUUGCCUAGCAAGCGUGAGGCCCUGGGUUUGGUCCCCAGCUCCG